rnacentral:rRNA from 1 species
UACGUAGGGUGCAAGCGUUGUCCGGAAUUAUUGGGCGUAAAGAGCUUGUAGGCGGUUUGUCGCGUCUGCUGUGAAAUUUCGGGGCUCAACCCCGAACUUGCAGUGGGUACGGGCAGACUAGAGUGUGGUAGGGGAGACUGGAAUUUACGGUGUAGCAGUGAAAUGCGUAGAGAUCGUAAGGAAGACCAGUGGCGAAGGCGAGUCUCUGGACAGUUACUGACACUGAGGCACGAAGGCCAGGGGAGCAAACGGG